GUCAGACUGCUGGGACCAGGUGACAAGAGUGCACACACCUGUCCUGUCAGACUGCUGGGACCAGGUGACAAGAGUGCAUGCUAGCUCACUUUCACAUUUCACACUACAAGACCAGCUGGUUCUCAGGCAAUGUCACUUUCCCGCCAAAACAUAUCACUUCCUGUGCAACACACACUGUGCUUCUUCUUCUUCUUCGUUGUUGUCGAGCAGGUCAUGUGACUUCUUCGUUAUUGUCGAGCAGGUCAUGUGACUUCUUCGUUAUUGUCGAGCAGGUCAUGUGACUUCUUCGUUAUUGUCCAGCAGGUCAUGUGACUUCUUCUUUAUUGUCGAGCAGGUCAUGUGACUUCUUCUUUAUUGUCGAGCAGGUCAUGUGACUUCUUCGUUAUUGUCGAGCAGGUCAUGUGACUUCUUCGUUAUUGUCCAGCAGGUCAUGUGACUUCUUCGUUAUUGUCGAGCAGGUCAUGUGACUUCUUCGUUAUUGUCGAGCAGGUCAUGUGACUUCUUCGUUAUUGUCGAGCAGGUCAUGUGACUUCUUCGUUAUUGUCGAGCAGGUCAUGUGACUUCUUCGUUAUUGUCGAGCAGGUCAUGUGACUUCUUCGUUAUUGUCGAGCAGGUUAUGUGACUUCUUCUUUAUUGUCGAGCAGGUCAUGUGACUUUCACGCCCAAAUUGUGUGCAGCAUUUGCCCGUGUUAAAUAUGACAAACAUGUGAAAGAUGAAGUUAGUCAAUCAGGAACACGGAGCGACGUGCUACAACAUGACUGCAGGCCACGCCCCCCCAGCAUCACCAUCAGUACAUGUGCAAUAUUGACCUACCGGAAGUGCUAAGAUGCUAACUAGCACAGGCUAACUAGCACAGGCUAACUAGCACAGGCUAAGUCUGCACCAACGCAGUAUGAAUAUUUGAACAACAUAUUUUCUGAUGUUUUGUCCUCAAGUUCAGUGUUUGAGUCCCAGGAAACUUUCUCUUUAUUUCAAGUCCUGAGUGGCUCGCACAUUUAGUUUUUAUUAAAGAAAUAACAUCAAUAUUAUUAUUAUCUUAUUAGUUAUUACACUAAAUUGCUGCGUCAGCUGGAGUCAAGAAUAUGUUGACUGACAUCUUCUCCUCAUUAUUGUCAUGACUAUUUACAUUGUAGAUUGUCACAUCAAAACUAGGAAUGAACAUGUGGAGUUAUCUACUUAACUAAAAUGUUUUAUAUUCUACUUUCUUCAAAAUAGCCACCCUCUUAUUACUGCUUUGUGCACUCUUGGCAUUCUCUUCAUGAGCUUCAAGCACACCCGGGAAGUAGGGCUGCAACUAACGAUUAAUUUGAUACUCGAUUAAUCUGUCGAUUAUUACUUCGAUUAAUAAUCGGAUAAAAGAGACAAACUACAUUUCUAUCCUUUCCGGUAUUUUAUUGGGAAAAAAACAGCAUUCUGGCACCGUACUUAUUUUGAUGAUUGUUUCUCAGCU